AUACGGAGGGUGCAAGCGUUAUUCGGAAUCACUGGGCGUAAAGGACGCGUAGGCGGGUUGGCAAGUCAGAUGUGAAAUCCUACAGCUUAACUGUAGAACUGCAUUUGAAACUGCUAACCUAGAGUAUGGGAGGGGGAGAUGGAAUUAGUGGUGUAGGGGUAAAAUCCGUAGAUAUCACUAGGAAUACCGAAAGCGAAGGCGAUCUCCUGGAACAUAACUGACGCUAAGGCGUGAAAGCGUGGGGAGCGAACCGGAUUAGAUACCCGUGUAGUCC
rnacentral:rRNA from 1 species